rnacentral:rRNA from 1 species
AUUGAACGCUGGCGGCAGGCCUAACACAUGCAAGUCGAACGGUAGCACAGAGAGCUUGCUCCCGGGUGACGAGUGGCGGACGGGUGAGUAACGUCUGGGAAACUGCCCGAUGGAGGGGGAUAACUACUGGAAACGGUAGCUAAUACCGCAUAACGUCGCAAGACCAAAGUGGGGGACCUUCGGGCCUCACACCAUCGGAUGUGCCCAGAUGGGAUUAGCUAGUAGGUGGGGUAAUGGCUCACCUAGGCGACGAUCCCUAGCUGGUCUGAGAGGAUGACCAGCCACACUGGAACUGAGACACGGUCCAGACUCCGACGGGAGGCAGCAGUGGGAAAUAUUGCACAAUGGGCGCAAGCCUGAUGCAGCCAUGCCGCGUGUAUGAAGAAGGCCUUCGGGUUGUAAAGUACUUUCAGCGGGGAGGAAGGCGGUGAAGUUAACAGCUUCACCGAUUGACGUUACCCGCAGAAGAAGCACCGACUAACUCCGUGCCAGCCGCCGCCGUAA